rnacentral:rRNA from 1 species
AAUAGAUACCCGGGUAGUCCACCCCGUAAACGUUGGGACUAGUUGUGGGGUCCUUUCCACGGAUUCCGUGACGCAGCUAACGCAUUAAGUUCCCCGCCUGGGGAGUACGGCCGCAAGGCUAAAACUCAAAGGAAUUGACGGGGACCCGCACAAGCGGCGGAGCAUGCGGAUUAAUUCGAUGCAACGCGAAGAACCUUACCAAGGCUUGACAUACACCAGAACACCCUGGAAACAGGGGGACUCUUUGGACACUGGUGAACAGGUGGUGCAUGGUUGUCGUCAGCUCGUGUCGUGAGAUGUUGGGUUAAGUCCCGCAACGAGCGCAACCCUCGUUCUAUGUUGCCAGCACGUAAUGGUGGGAACUCAUGGGAUACUGCCGGGGUCAACUCGGAGGAAGGUGGGGAUGACGUCAAAGUCAUCAUGCCCCUUAUGUCUUGGGCUUCACGCAUGCUACAAUGGCCGGUACAAUGGGCUGCGAUACCGUAAGGUGAGCGAAUCCCAAAAGCCGGUCCAGUUCGGAUUGAGGUCUGCAACUCGACCUCAUGAA